GACGAACGCUGGCGGCGUGCUUAACACAUGCAAGUCGAACGGUGAUGCGGAGCUUGCUCCGCGGAUCAGUGGCGAACGGGUGAGUAACACGUGAGUAACCUGCCCUCGACUCCGGGAUAAGCGUUGGAAACGACGUCUAAUACUGGAUACGACCCGUGGAGGCAUCUCCUGCGGGUGGAAAGAAUUUCGGUCGAGGAUGGACUCGCGGCCUAUCAGCUUGUUGGUGAGGUAAUGGCUCACCAAGGCGACGACGGGUAGCCGGCCUGAGAGGGUGACCGGCCACACUGGGACUGAGACACGGCCCAGACGCCUACGGGAGGCAGCAGUGGGGAAUAUUGCACAAUGGGCGCAAGCCUGAUGCAGCAACGCCGCGUGAGGGACGACGGCCUUCGGGUUGUAAACCUCUUUUGGCAGGGAAGAAGCGAAAGUGACGGUACCUGCAGAAAAAGCACCGGCUAACUACGUGCCAGCCGCCGCAGUAAAAC
rnacentral:rRNA from 1 species